rnacentral:rRNA from 1 species
CAGCAGCCACGGUAAUACGAAGGGUGCAAGCGUUACUCGGAAUUACUGGGCGUAAAGCGUGCGUAGGUGGUGGUUUAAGUCCGUUGUGAAAGCCCUGGGCUCAACCUGGGAAUUGCAGUGGAUACUGGGUCACUAGAGUGUGGUAGAGGAUAGUGGAAUUUCCGGUGUAGCAGUGAAAUGCGUAGAUAUAGGAAGGAACACCAGUGGCGAAGGCGACUACCUGGACUGAUACUGACACUGAGGUGCGAAAGCGUGGGGAGCAAACAGGAUUAGAUACCCUGUAGUCCCUGUCUCUUAUACA